rnacentral:rRNA from 1 species
UACGGGGGGGGCAAGCGUUGUUCGGAAUUACUGGGCGUAAAGGGCUCGUAGGUGGCCAACUAAGUCAUACGUGAAAUCCCUCGGCUUAACCGGGGAACUGCGCCUGAUACUGGUUGGCUUGAGUUUGGGAGAGGGACGCGGAAUUCCAGGUGUAGCGGUGAAAUGCGUAGAUAUCUGGAGGAACACCGGUGGCGAAGGCGGCGUCCUGGACCAAUACUGACACUGAGGAGCGAAAGCCAGGGGAGCAAACGGG